rnacentral:rRNA from 1 species
AGAUUGAACGCUGGCGGCAUGCCUAACACAUGCAAGUCGAACGGGAGUAGCAAUACUCUAGUGGCGGACGGGUGAGGAAUACGUAGGAAUUUGCCCUUAAGUGGGGGAUAACCCGGGGAAACCCGGAUUAAUACCGCAUGACCUCGAAAGAGCAAAGUGGGGGAUCGCAAGACCUCACGCUUUUGGAGAAGCCUACGUCGGAUUAGCUAGUUGGUGAGGUAAUGGCUCACCAAGGCGACGAUCCGUAACUGGUCUGAGAGGAUGAUCAGUCACACCGGAACUGAGACACCGGUCCGGACUCCGUACGGGAGCAGCAGUGGGGAA